UCGCGUAUCGAAAUUGAGACAGCGGCUCCCUGAAUCCCUCAACCUAUGUUCUGGCUAAUCCAGUUCGCUUUCGACCAUCGCUCGGACAUAUUUCCACGACAAUGAAGCUCCAAAAACGCGUUGACAUGACAUUCACGUGGCCGAAACCGAAGUACCGUCGAGGACACCGUCGUUCCCGUACGAAUUGCGAAGUGUUCGAGUAUGGCGAGUUCGGUUCGGCGCAAUUUGCAGUGAUAUCUGUAUAUCGACGUCGAAGAGAACGGAAGAGGAAGAUCAUGAAUCAUCAUCAUCUUCUUUACUUCAUCGGAAUGAAGGCAGCGAAGGAAAGACAGGACGGAGGACGCGCAACGUGAGAAGGAACGCGCAAGAUGUAUUCACGAAUAAGGCGACCGCUCAUAUCUAGCAACGCGCAAAUACCUAGUUGCAUCCAGCAGCGAAACCGGAACGACAUUGAUGAAGAAGAAUAACUCACACAAGAAUUGCAAAAUUACGAUUAUUAUUAUCGCGUUUGAUCAUCGUCAAUUGCCAUCAAUUGUUAGUCCUUUAGAUUCCUCCAGACUGAAUGUAUCAUGAUCGCAAGGAUUGGGAGUUACUAAAUAAAAAUGAAUUUGAAGCAUUUUAAAA